AGUAAACGUUGGCGGCGUGCCUAACACAUGCAAGUCGUACGAUCCUUAAGUGGCUUGCCAUUUAAGGAAAGUGGCGAACGGGUGAGUAACACGUGAGUAAUCUGCCCCUAAGUGAGGAAUAACUCCGCGAAAGCGGGGCUAAUACCGCAUGAAACUCUGAAGCAAACGCUUUCAGAGUCAAAGCCCCCUAGGGGGUGCUUGGGGAUGAGCUUGCGGCCUAUUAGCUAGUUGGUGGGGUAAUGGCCUACCAAGGUAAUGAUGGGUAGCCGGCCUGAGAGGGUGUACGGCCACACUGGAACUGCGACACGGUCCAGACUCCUACGGGAGGCAGCAGUGGGGAAUUUUGCGCAAUGGGCGAAAGCCUGACGCAGCGACGCCGCGUGGAGGAUUAAGGCCUUCGGGUUGUAAACUCCUGUCAGAGGUGAAGAAUACCCCCUUUGGGGGGUUUGACGGUAACC
rnacentral:rRNA from 1 species